AUACGUAGGUGGCGAGCGUUGUCCGGAUUUACUGGGCGUAAAGGGAGCGUAGGCGGUAUAUUUAAGUGGGAUGUGAAAUACCCGAGCUUAACUUGGGAGCUGCAUUCCAAACUGGAUAUCUAGAGUGCAGGAGAGGAGAAUGGAAUUCCUAGUGUAGCGGUGAAAUGCGUAGAGAUUAGGAAGAACACCAGUGGCGAAGGCGAUUCUCUGGACUGUAACUGACGCUGAGGCUCGAAAGCGUGGGGAGC
rnacentral:rRNA from 1 species